UCGCAGUUACCAUACAACCAACCUGUCAACAUCAGGGGCGACGGAUUAUAGAUCAAACUCUCUGUGUGGGCUCAUUUUACAUGUGGCUGCGUAUAAGGGUUUCAUUGUGAUUGACUUACGUCAUGAUUUUGUCAAUUUACUAGAUCAAGAGCAUAACGAUCAUGUGCGCAACAUUAUGUAUACGAACCAUGUCUCCUCAUAUUAAGAAGCUAGGAUGAUGACAUCUGUCCAUUUCCUCCGCAUCUACCGUUAUGGUUAGGUCUGCCAACAGUUGUGAUUUAAUGCUGAUUGAUACAUUUGAUAAAUGUAUUACAUGCACUGUAUAUGAUUUGAGUAGAGAAAUCAGGGACCAUAUCAUCUUUUAACAUAUACAAGUGGAAUGGUC
rnacentral:lncRNA from 1 species